GCCACCUUAGCUCAGCUGGUAGAGCAGCCGAUUCGUAAUCGGCAGGUCGGCGGUUCGACUCCGCCAGGUGGCUC
rnacentral:tRNA from 1 species